AUUGGUAAGGUUUGAGACGACGAUCAUUCCUCGACACUGUCACCAUAUUGCUUAUCUUAUGUGCAGGGAUGACGAGCUAGCCUGGGGCAAAUAAAAGGAUACACACAGUGCAAGCUUAGCGAUGUCAUCGUCCUGUAGUAUUUCAUUCUUCAGUAUCAUGCAUACGCAUACUCGAAGAGAAAUGAAGCCAGACAGUAAUUUAUUUGUUGGCCCUUAUUAUUGACGACUGCUAAUAAGUGCUAGCUAGCACACACGCCAUUUAUUUUGUUGGCCAGUAGUACUAUUAUAUAUCUCCUUAGGCGGACGCCGAGGCAGGAGCGCCGGCCGAUCGACGACGUAGCACUAGUAGUACUUGUUGAUGGUUUCCUCGAGUUUCUCCGGAUCGGCACCAACAAAGCUCUCGAGCGUCUCGCCGUUCCUGAUGAAGAAGAAGGUCGGGAAGCUAUGGAUGUUGUACUUCUUAGCAACAUCCUGUGUAGGUGUAGAACAACAAGGAAACACACACAGCAUGCAUGAUCAUCAGUACGAUCGACGAAGUCAUUUCAUGCAUGCAUUGGUUGGUUGAAAUCAUCAAAUCAAAUGCUCGAUCGAUCGGUUUGGUGAAUGGCAUAUAUAUAUGUGGAUGGGGAUGGAUUCGGUUCGGGACAGUACUGAUCGAUCUAGCUCGAUCGCUCUCACCUCCAGUUCCUCAGCAUCAACCUCGAGGAAGACAGCGGCAGGGUACUUGUUGGCGUACUCCUUGUACACCGGGGCUAUCUCUUGGCAAAAAGGGCACCAGGUGGUCAUGAAGUCGAUGAUCACCUGAUGGAGGGGCGUAGUAGGUACG
rnacentral:lncRNA from 1 species